CCCGCACGGCUGCGAGAGGUGGGGGCUGCCUCGGAGGAUGCCCGGCGGCGGCUCCCCGCUCCUAGGCGCGGGCUGAGCUGGACCCGGAGCGGGCGGCGCAUCGCCAUGCCGGUGUGACGGGCGCCCCCGGCUGCCCCACGCCGCGCCGCGCCGGCGCCGGGCGACAGGAUGGGCUGUAUCCAAAGCAUUACCUGCAAGGCGCGGAUCCGGCGCGAGAACAUCGUGGUGUACGAUGUGUGCGCCACCAUCGACCAGUGCCCCACGCGCAUCGAGGAGACCUCACCCAUCGUCCUGCGCUACAAGACCCCCUACUUCAAAGCUUCGGCCCGUGUGGUCAUGCCCCCCAUCCCCCGCCACGAGACCUGGGUGGUGGGCUGGAUCCAGGCAUGCAACCAGAUGGAGUUCUUCAACACCUACAGCGACCUGGGCAUGUCAAGCUGGGAACUGCCUGACUUGAGGGAAGGGAGAGUAAAAGCCAUCAGUGACUCAGAUGGGGUGAGCUACCCUUGGUACGGGAACACCACAGAAACUGUGACCCUGGUUGGCCCCACCAACAAGAUCUCCAGGUUCUCCGUCAGCAUGAAUGACAAUUUCUACCCCAGUGUGACGUGGGCAGUGCCAGUAAGUGACAGCAAUGUGCCGCUGCUCACAAGGAUCAAGAGGGACCAAAGUUUCACUACCUGGCUGGUGGCCAUGAACACCUCCACGAAAGAGAAGAUCAUUCUGCAGACCAUCAAGUGGAGGAUGAGGGUGGACAUUGAGGUGGACCCCCUUCAGCUCUUGGGGCAACGGGCCCGGCUGGUGGGCAGGACUCAGCAGGAGCAGCCCCGAAUCCUGAGCCGGAUGGAACCCAUCCCCCCAAAUGCACUAGUGAAACCCAAUGCCAACGAUGCCCAGGUCCUCAUGUGGAGGCCCAAGCGGGGGCCACCUCUGGUUGUGAUCCCUCCUAAGUAGAAACAGACUGGCCUGACUGUGUGUGGAGCACAUGCCACUGAGACACGCAGUGAGGUUGCCAGGGGGUGGCAGGAGCCAAACUGAGUUUCUGAGCCAAAGCAGACCUCGCGGUUUGCCAGCCUUUGCAGCCGCUUGUGAAGAGUAGGGCUGCUCCUUGGGUGGUAGAACCAUUAUCCUUAGGAAAAGUCCCUCCCUUUUAGGAAUAAAGAAAUCACUGAUUUGACAGACUUGCUGUGAUUACCAUGCAAGUAGCCAUAUUUUGGAGCUGACCAGGAUGAUUCUUUUAUCUGAACUAUUGACCAUUUCUUUCCUGUGAGAUGCAGGGGAUGGAAACGAAAUUAAACAGUGCCUGUGGGAAACGCUGCUUCCGAACCAAUUAGAAGCAGGAGCGAAAACAUCUGCAGCAGGUCACCUAGUAGGACAAGGCACACCCAGGAGCAGAACCACAUGGCAGAGACUAAAGAGGAAAAGAGCAGUGGCUGGGAACUCCAGAAGCUGAAGCCCUGGAUAGCUGAUUUCCCACUAACAUGGGUGCCAUCCUACUUGUUUCCUCGCCAUCCUCCCAUCCCCUCAUCCCGUGACCCGUACCCCCUCCCAUCCCACCGUGUGCCAUGCAGCUUUCCCUGUGGGCUGGCUGGGUUGGCUGGGUGGCUCCUGGGGAGCUGUGUUGAGGUGGGAGUUGUGUCUGUUGUAUCUCUUUGUGUGGAAAGAGUGGGUCCCUCCAGAUCUCAAAUCCACUAAGUGAAGCUAGGAUGAAGAGCUGGUCAGCUUGGACUUCAGGUAUCUAAAAUGUUCCAGCAUUGGUUCCCAAAACCUGCCUUCCUUCCCUACACUUCCAGGUGGGAAACAAAGGGAAUACACAUCUCCCCUCUUUCUCCCUUCUUCAUGUGGGUAGCCAAUGUUAAUACUCUCUCUAGAUUUCUCUGAUCCUUGGAAAGCCAAGGCCAAAGCUGUUCUAUUUCCCCUACAUGGCCAAGCUGGGUGCCUUCAGGUGACCAAGGGCAAAGGGUCAGUCACUAGGACCAAUGGGGUGAGGGGAGAACCGCCCUAAGAGGGCAAGAAUGGUGUACAUUAUUUAUUGCCUUGCUGAUUGAUUGACCGAUUUAUGAAGUAUGUAUUUAUUAUACAGCAGAAAAUCCAUUCCCAUCUUUGAAGCAUCCAGCCCCAGAAUUUGUCUUCUUGGCCCCAUAGGACACAGUGAAUUAUUCCUCUUUGAAGUCACAGAAAAUAAGGAGGGGGGGAUGUUCUCUCCCUGUGCCCAAACACCUCCACCUCAAACAGAUUUUCAACCAGAAAUGAGGUUAGAAACCACCAGCUAGUGAGACUAUAAAGCCACUCACAUCAGCAGAGGCUUGACUGUUCAGAUAGAAGCUCUAAGAAUCUUCCCCAUACCCUGCGACCCUCACACCAGUCCUCCCCUUCUCCUUCAUGUGCAUGGUGGGGCUUGGCCAGUCAGCUCCAGCCUGAUCAUCUGAGACCUAGACUUCUCCUUCUGUUCUGGUGCUGUCUUCUUAGCUAAUGCCACAUGCACAUUAAAGACACCUGAGGAGCUUACCAAAAAAAACCCAAAACAUUCCUGGUCCCCUCCCCAGCUCAUUACAGUAGAAUAUCUGGGGGUAGAGCCUGGCACUGGUGUUUUUAAAAAGUCACCCAGAUGAUUCUAAUGGGAGACUAGGGUUGAGAAGCCCUUCUAGUGUCUGUCUUCCCUCCUUUGCCCCUCCUCACCAUCCACAUCCUUCAUUCUUUAUUUCCCAAUCUUUCUUCAACACCAAGAAUAGGAAAAGGCCAUUGAGGAAUGACAAGUCCUCUUUCCAUUCCUCCAGCCCUGAACCUUCCCCAUCUCUAACCCUUCCCACUGAACCUUCCCCAUCAGGCCAACCAACCUGAGCAGAUCCCCAGAGAGCUGGCAGGUUCUGCCAGUUGAAUUCGGAGGCUGGUGCCUGCACCCAGCCUGGGGGCUGCUUUUAAAUGACUUCCAUCUUUUCCAUGAGCAGAAACCUACCCCUUUCCAGAUUCUCUCUACAGCUACCCCCACUCCAAGCUCCCAAACUCCAAAGCUGGAGGCACUUACAUCUCCAAAUCCCAAUCCAGAUAGGAAGGCCCAUGCUCAGUCUUCAUAACCCAAGCCUUGGCCAUUUCUGCAGAGUCACCUGAACUGAAUGAAGGUCUACUGAUAACAGAGAAAGGAGUCACGUUGCCCCAAGCCAGUCCUUUCCCCGAGAUUUGGGCUGCAUCCAAAUCCCAGAUGGCUGAGAAGAGAUAGCUCACACAUCAUACUUACAAGAUCUCCGCUUCUGAGUGUGAGUAAAUGUGUGUGUGAAUAUGGUGUGUGUGUGUGUGUACAUAUGUACAUGUACACACUAUAAAAAUCCAUAGAGAUCCACAGAGAUGUAGCAUGUUCAUAAGGGGCCCAAGUGAAUUCUGUGUCAGAUAUACACACAGAGUGUUGUAGUAUCUACACACUGUUAUAUACCAUGUGCACACACAGCCUAAGAAGCCUGUGAUGUGAGAAGGGUUGUUUUUCUACCCCAUCUCUCCCACUGAAGAAACUUCCUGGGGCAAGCACUAUGUUGCACACACCCUCAGCUGCCCAGCCUGCCCCUCCCCCCGUUUCCCUGAUCACCAAGCCUUGUUUCCCCAUUAGUCACAUUGUCCCCACCCUACGUCCCAUUUCUCAGGGUCCUACUCUCUGAUCGGUGACAGACAGAUCAGUCAGUGGCUGCUAAAGAGUUGAGUGUUACCCCUCCCAGAUGACAUUUAUGCUUUAAUAGGGGCUACAGAUAAUGCCUUAAUCCAAAGGAGUGGCUCUCAUGGUGGGAAUUUCAGGCACAGUAGUGGGCCAGUAAGGGAGAUUAUUUUUUUUUCAGAGGGGAACGUUUAAAAGCCCCUGCCCCAAAUCAUACCUUUUGCUAAAGUCAAACCUUCGGUGCAUGAGCACAAGCAAGCACACCUAACCUAUAUACAAUUUCCAUCCUUUUGAGACACCUCCCUUAUAUUGGCCCUAUCUUUACAAAUUAAAAAAAAGGAACCAGCUAAAUUAAUUUAAACCUCACUGGGAAAUGUAGCCUAUUUUUCACGGGCUGCCAGCCAUCUAGCCCACCCCACCCUGUUCCAUUUCCCUUCUGCUCCCUGUUUUUCCUGCUGCCACCACACCAGUUCAUGGAUGUUCUUGUCUGCCCUCCCUGUGGUCUCCUCACCCACCUACCCACAUGUACGUCCUUCCUUCCCUGUCUCCUGAUUGGAAUUGUGCUGUUUUUCGGUGUCGUCAGGACAAAAAGCAGGUUAAAAGCAUGAGCAUGUGUGUAUCACUUCGAAGAACGAGAAACCAGGUAUUCUGCUACAGUUUGGAGGAAAAAAAACCCAAUGAAGGAAGAGAUGAAAGCUGGCUCUGCAGAGUGCCUUAAAAAUGACUUUCAUUAGGAAAUUCUGAGUCGUCAGUCUUUGGAUGUUAAUGUAAACUCAAACAGAUGUUGCAUUUCACUUC